UAUAUUAUACUUAGAUAUGUACAGGGUCUCCAAGACUUGAAUUCUUAUAUAAGUAAUUAACACAAAAAAUAAACAAACAGACAAGAACCGAAUGAAGUGUCUCACGUUAAUGCCACUCAAAAGUAAAGUUACAUAGGUAACAUGAAGCCCGUGUAAACUUAAACAGACCGGUCUCCACAAACAGCACCCGUUCACGAGUAUGACGCGUAUCUCAGCCAUCGUCUCCCUCAACCUUCAUUCGGGAAAUCUUUGCUAACGGUGGCGUCGUUGAUCGGGUCGCCACUUUCCCGAAUGAAGGUUGAGGGAGACGAUG